AUUGAACGCUAGCGGGAUGCCUUACACAUGCAAGUCGAACGGAGUGGCGAACGGGUGAGCAAUGUAUCGGAACGUGCCCAGUAGCGGGGGAUAACUACGCGAAAGCGUAGCUAAUACCGCAUACUAUUGGAGCGGCCGAUAUCGGAUUAGCGAGUUGGUGGGGUAACGGCUCAACAAGGCGACGAUCCGUAGCUGGUUUGAGAGGACGACCAGCCACACUGGGACUGAGACACGGCCAAGGCUCCUCGUGGAGGCAGCAUUGGGGAAUUUUGGAAAGUGGGUGAACCCCUGAUCCAGCCAUCCCGAGUGUGCGACGAAUGCCUUCGGGUUGUAAAGCACGUUUGGCAGGAAAGCGGUACCUGAAGAAUAAGCACCGGCUAAAUACGUGCCAGCCGCCGCGGUAAGAC
rnacentral:rRNA from 1 species